UACGUAGGGACCAAGCGUUGUUCGGAUUUACUGGGCGUAAAGGGCGCGUAGGCGGCGUGACAAGUCACUUGUGAAAUCUCCGGGCUUAACUCGGAAAUGGCAUUGGAUACUAUUCGGACUGGAGGUUUGGAGGGGGGACUGGAAUUCUCGGUGUAGCAGUGAAAUGCGUAGAUAUCGAGAGGAACACCAGUGGCGAAGGCGAGUCCCUGGACAACACCUGACACUGAGGCACGAAAGCUAGGGGAGCAAACAGG
rnacentral:rRNA from 1 species